CUUGAGCUCAUUCUUCCAUCAAAGAGAAGAGAAGAGAAAAAUGAAUGUUUUGGAGGUGGAGGAAGAUGGAGGAAACAGAAAAGGGAAAAGCUGCAGUAAUAUCUGGGAUCUUUUAGGAGUUUGGUGGAUUUUUUUUGCUCACAUACAGGCAUUGCACCCAUGGCCAGAACCUAAUCCUGGAUGCCUCCAACUCCUGCCAAGAGCCUGGUCUGCUCCAGCCUUAAAAGGUGGUGAAAGGACACCGCCAGCCAGUGACAGAUCCUCAGCUGACAACAGCUCUGUUCAAACCAAAGGAAUUCUUUGCAGUAGGAUCCAAAGGACAGCACAUUCAUUUGCUAAACUCCUAAUUUUUUUUUUUGUUGUGGAAUGUAACUUCAGGACUUGGCUGACUUUUAAACAUGAUAUAAUUAAGCAUGCCUGAAAAUGAAUUUAUAAAAAAAAACAAAACACAAAAGUAGAGGUACUUUAUAAUCCACAGUGUUAAGUCUCUUCAAAAUUCCUUGGAUAGUUACACUGCUGCUUUAGUCAGGGUGACACAGCACAGUCCUAAUACCUAAUCCCAAGUGACUCUUCACACAGUGACUCAGUUACCAGAGCUGUUUGGUUCCUAUCUGGUUAUCUUUAAUACCUUGAUCCAUACAUCUCCUGUCUGCUUUGCCAGGAGGGUUAUUCCACUGAUUUUCAAGACUACAAAAUGGGAAAAUCCUCAUUCUACAUCUGUUUAUUAAUCCUAAAAAUAUUUGACAUCUUUUUUCUACCCAGCUGUGUUUCCUUGUCCAUGAUGUCCUGACUGAACAAUUGCAGAAGAAAAAAUCCUUCCUUCAACUGCUUCUAAAUUUUUUUGACAAGUUGGAAACUCCAGAUUUCCAUUUUCAUUGGUGGUCAAAGGAAAUAGCAGCAGUCAGAUAAUGUAUUUCAAGUGUAUUUAUUCCAAAUGUGUCUAUUAUGUCAAGUCUUACAUAAAUUUUUAUAUAACAAGCCUUGAACAUCUGUAAAAACAAGGAAACUGACAUCAACAACUUUGGGCUUUGUCCUUCAGAGUGAGAAGAAAUAAGAAGUGAAGAGUGAAUUCAUAGUUGAAUAAACCAUCAGAUCCUGAGAGCCCUUAGGCA
rnacentral:lncRNA from 1 species